GCGAGUCUUUGUAGUAAUACAAGGCAGACGGCUCAGUAACACGUAGUCAACCUACCCUAUGGACGAGAAUAAUCUCGGGAAACUGAGCAUAAUUCUCGAUAGAUCAUAAUGCCUGGAAUGGUUUAUGGUUAAAAUGAUUCGUCGCCAUAGGAUGGGACUGCGGCCUAUCAGCUUGUUGGUGAGGUAAUGGCCCACCAAGGCGAUUACAGGUACGGGCUCUGAGAGGAGAAGCCCGGAGAUGGGUACUGAGACACGGACCCAGGCCCUAUGGGGCGCAGCAAGCGAGAAAACUUUGCAAUGUGCGAAAGCACGACAAGGUUAAUCCGAGUGAUUUCUGCUAAAGAAAUCUUUUGUCAGUCAUAAAACCACUGACGAAUAAGGGGUGGGCAAGUUCUGGUGUCAGCCGCCGCGGUAAAACCAGCACCUCAAGUGGUCAGGAUGAUUAUUGGGCCUAAAGCAUCCGUAGCCGGCUUUGUUAGUUUUCGGUUAAAUCCACGUGCUCAACACAUGGGCUGCCGAAAAUACUGCAUGGCUAGGGAGUGGGAGAGGUAGACGGUACUCAGUAGGAAGGGGUAAAAUCCCUUGAUCUAUUGAUGACCACCUGUGGCGAAGGCGGUCUACCAGAACACGUUCGACGGUGAGGGAUGAAAGCUGGGGGAGCAAA
rnacentral:rRNA from 1 species